AGACUCGUCCCUAAUUUUAAUUUUUAUUUAUUGAUGAUGUGGUUACGUGGAAUUAUAAUUUGAUAAUUUUGUGUGCAAUGAAUUUUAUUUUAUAUAUGUAGAUGUAUGUUUGGUCGUGCGAGCCCGAGCCCGUGGGCCAUAGGGCGAGAGUGUUGGGAAGUGGGAACCCAUGUCGGAUAGCUUUUAAAAUUAGUUAAGACUUAUUUUUAAAACUCAUGGGGUAUUAGUGUAGCUACAUAUUAAAUUCUAGGACUUGAGGAAGUGCCUAUGGUAGUUGAGGGGGUGUAGUGUAAUAACUACACAUAAAUCUCUAAAAUGGGAUCAGAGAGCCAAUUCCUCAUUUCUUCUUCGUUUUUUCUUUUCCUGCGUCUCCUUUCUCUGUAUUCUCUCUCUCAAACCCUAGACUUCAAUCCCAAAAUCGGAGGCCAAGACUCGCAAAUCUCGCAAAAAGGCAAGAAGAAAACGUGAUCUACGGACAAAGGGCUAUGCCUCUAUCCAAACAAAAUCUCAAUCGGUCAAAGUUCGAGAUUCUUGCAUUUUGGGGAUUUCACUCCUUGAGUUAUCUCAAGCUUCUUCGACACAAGUGAAAAGAUGAGGAUGGAAGAAAAGCAACAGGAAAGAAAGAACGCAGCAACAGGUAAUGUGUUCAAGCACAAAGAAGGACGAAGGGGAACAGACUGCUUAUUCAAUACAACUUGGAACACAAGUAAAUCUUAACCUAUGUAUCUUUUCCAGUUUCCUUUUCAUUUCAUGAAGCAAAUUUAGUAUGGAUAAUCAUAAAGCUUGCAUCUUUUCACGUUUGCUUUUAAUUUUUCAAUCCAAGAAGCAAAUUUAGUAUUGAUAAUCACAGAGCAUAAACUUGAUUCUUGAUGCAACAUGAAAAUAGUGACAUAGAAGUACAAUACAAGCUUCAUUCACCAAAUCUACCCCAUAACCAAACAGAUCUAUCAUAAUCAAGGAAUCAAACGGAAAGUACACAAUAAAGAAAAAAUCGAGAUCUAAGCAUCUAACCUGAUAGUAACUAUACUCAGUAGAACUUAAGGACUUGGCACUCAAAGUAGGAAGAUCGACGGAUAUUGCACUAUAUGUGGUUUUAGAUGCUAGAAAAGGACAGUGGCAAUAGAUGGCCUUAUACACAGCUGGAGCUGUUUUGUAAAACACACUCGUUCAACUUGAAAUCCAUUGUUGGGAAUAGACUUUGACCUAAUUGAGUUGGAGCUUUGACUUUGGGAACUUCACAUAGUAUAAGAAUGUAAAUACCAACACAUUGUCGGGAAUGGACGACCUAAUUGAGUUGGAACUUUGGCUUUGGCAACUUCACACCGUUAGAAGAAAUACCAACACAUUCGGGAUUAAGUACUGACCAUUAUGAACUAUACUGCCCCCACCCAUAAGGCAUGCAACGACUUCUCCCAGUUAUAAUACCUAGGGCACAAAUCCCGAUUGCAUGCUGCUAUCUUCAGUUGAAUUCCAACGUUCCAAUUAUUAAACCACCAAACCAGCAACAGAGAUGUAUGGUACAAAUGCAACUUACAAAGAAUUUAAAACAUAAAAGGGAGACAGCAUAAUGACACCUUGCCUUGCCUGGUCUUAUCAAAGAUAAUCCAAAUAUCAAUGGAAAGCAUCAUCAAGCACUUUGUGCUGAGUAUCAUCAUUCUACCUCAGAAACAUACUAUGGCGCAUAUGCAAAGGAGCCAUAAAUUUGGGGAAAGGAAGGAAGCAAGAUAGCAUGGGGUGUAAACUCACAGCACAGGGCCAUGCUUCGGAUCAGAGUAAAUUUUCCUUGUUUAACUGCUUGAACCAUUGAGAACCUUCUUCCUUAUUGUGAAAGGGAAUUACACAUGUUGGAUAUCUACAGUUAUGGUGUCAUACAUAUAAGUCUUGAUGCAACAUGCAAAAGUUAGUGAUCUAAACCAGGAUAAUUAUACCACACAUUCUAUGUCAAAGGUAAAUAGAUCGACGUCAAUCUAGUGAAAAACAGAAGAAAAAAGGAGAUAACUAAGUUCAUCAUAUGCUACCAGAAAACCCACACAUAACAUAAACAAUCAAAUCCAGCCAUAUGUUACAAAGAGAAAUGGCAUACACCAGGUUCAUUUAGGCAUUUUACCAGGCCAUUACCAUUACCGAACAUAAUGGUAGUGGCAUGAUUUUAACAUGAAGUUGGACCUGUAUGGUGCUAGGGAAAGUUGUCAGUCAAUUCUUAAAACUCGCAUCUAGGAACAAUUUAAAACCCACCGAAGGCUGCAAAACAAGCAUUGGCCUUCUCCUAAUUGAGUCUUGUACUUUGGUUUUGGGUGCGACGCGCUAAUAUGGGAUCAAGCCAUUAGGAUGGAAGGAACAAAGUUCAGCACCAAGGGAGUUCCUUUUGGUGCAGUCACUAUGCAAGAAACCGUGGCAUGAUCUCUGCCCCGUCAUCCUCAGCAACCGAAGUUGUGCGUCCUGAUUCAAGUCUUUCCUUCUCCCUCCCUCCCUCCCUCUCUCUCUCCCAAAAAAAUCGAAAACCUCUUCUUCCUUUGUUAAUGAGCUUCCAUCCUAGACAUGCUGCCAAUUCUACCGAAAGCCAUUGUGUUCUAUUUCCCCCGCCAGCAACUGCCCUUCUUUCCCGACCCAUCCUCAAACAGGUGAU